rnacentral:rRNA from 1 species
CCUACGGGGUGCAGCAGUGGGAAAUAUUGCGCAAUGGGCGAAAGCCUGACGCAGCGACGCCGCGUGAGGGAUGAAGGUCUUCGGAUCGUAAACCUCUGUCAGCAGGGAAGAACGGUCACUGUGCUAAUCAGCAGUGAAUUGACGGUACCUGCAAAGGAAGCACCGGCUAACUCCGUGCCAGCAGCCGCGGUAAUACGGAGGGUGCGAGCGUUAAUCGGAAUUACUGGGCGUAAAGCGCUCGUAGGCGGUAUGUCAAGUCAAGGGUGAAAUCCCCGCGCUCAACGUGGGAACUGCCUUUGAAACUGGCAAACUGGAGUGUGUGAGAGGAUAGUGGAAUUCCAGGUGUAGGAGUGAAAGCCGUAGAUAUCUGGAGGAACAUCAGGGGCGAAGGCGACUAUCUGGCACAUAACUGACGCUGAGGAGCGAAAGCGUGGGUAGCAAACAGGAUUAGAUACCCCUGUAGUC